GAUGUUUGCUUGGUCAUAUUUUAUUACCCUAGCAUCCAAAUAUGGCAGAGGAAGGUCAAUUGUCAUGGUGUUGCCACCUGGUUGCUGCGCAAGAGUGUUGAUAUGCAUAAUAUUAUUGGGCUUCAUCCUCAGAUUGAGGGAUGGGUCGGAGGAUAUAUACUGGGAUAUGUUGAGGAUAUCGAUGUCAUUUUUAUAUGUAUUGACUCCAACUUCUACAUGGUUCAACUUAAGUCAAUGCAAUUCAAGAGACUACAUCGAAUUGAAUAUAUCGUUUACUGCUAUCCUUUCACAAGCUUUUAUACACCAGGUGAUUGCUCAUCCCUACUCCCUAUAUGGUAGGAGUAACCCAGUCCAGUUAUGUUCCUUACGUCGGUGCUCGAACAUUUUAUUCUGCUCUUUAAGUCGCUAGCAACUUAAGCAUAGCUAGCGGUUUCCCUUUGUUAGAUAGACAAACGUAUAUCUGUUUUGUUUUUGGAGUCAUCAAUCAACGCAGCUAUCUUCCUUAUUGGGCAAUGCCGAAUCAAAUGUCAAAUCCUAGGAUGUGCACUAAUUGUGUCUCGAGUGUGUUUGUACUUGGUAUCUCUGGGCCUGUAAAUACUCUUCCACCAUUUCAAUACAACGAGACGCAAUGUUUUUGCGUUUUCUCGAGGGGAAAAAAUCAAAUGUCAAUUAGUAAAAUAUUGUCAAAUGAGAAACUGAGUUAGACUGUUUGGAAUGUCAAAGCUUGAUAUUUUUUUAUCGAGUACUAUCUAUUUAAUCUUACUAUUUCUUGGCAGCAACUUUGACUGAAUCCAUACCUUUUGAAAUAAUUGUUUUCUUUGUCAGUUCUUGAAGACCCUCCACCGAGUGACUAGUACAUUUGUAGCACACCAAAAGAAAUUGCAUUUCUUGUCUCUAAUCAGGCUCCAUUUACUUAAAACUGAAUACCAAAGAUUACUUUUGUUGCUAGAGUUUGUUAGUUUUAGCAUGUUUUAUUUUUGUCUGCCUGGCAUGACAUGUGAUGAAUUUACAUGAGAAAAAUUGUAAGCGCUGUUUUUUUUUCUUCUCUGCUGAAACCUUCAUUAUGAGAUACUCCCUCCUUCUGUAAAAGAUGUUUGGGUUUUCCAAGAAAAUUAAGCAAUUUGUAGAAACCUCCCUCCUCCCCUCCAUUAAGCUGAUGCUUCGAUUCAAACAACAUUUACUACUCUUGUCACGGGCGCAGUCCUAGGUAUCCAAAUAAGAGACAUAUCACAUUAGUAUCUUCUAAAGGGGAAGACUGAUUGGCGGACGACCGCCCGGCGCGGACGAAUUCCGACCAGGUGACUCACCGCCGCCCGGCCCUGGCCCAACUGGAUGUCUGCCGCCGUCUGCGGCCGGCGCGCUACUGCGCCGCCUCGCCGCACCGCCCUCUCCAACCGCCACCACCGCCGGUUCGCCGCCGCCCCCGCCAUCCUCUAAGCUCGGGAUCCGGUGGUCUUAUCCGGCGCCGGCCAACCCCCGCCCCCUAACUCUAAGAAAGGUCGUCGGGACUUACCUCUUCACCACCAUCACCUCCUCGCUUUCGCUGUCAUCGACGCGGCCUGCCGUGUCGCCGCCGCCGCGGCUCGAUCUAGGCCUCGCCGUCUUCGGCUCGGACCUGACUCACCCUCGCCGGCUCUGACUCGCCUUGCCGCUUGCUCUGUUGAAUCG
rnacentral:lncRNA from 1 species